rnacentral:rRNA from 1 species
GAUGAACGCUGGCGGCGUGCCUAAUACAUGCAAGUCGAGCGAACGGACGAUAAGCUUGCUUCUCUGCUGUUAGCGGCUGACGGGUGAGUAACACGUGGAUAACCUACCUAUAAGACUUGGAUAACUUCGGGAAACCGGAGCUACUACCGGCUAAUAUUUUGAACCGCAUGGUUCAAAAGUGAAAGACGGUCUUGCUGUCACUUAUAGAUGGAUCCGCGCUGCAUUAGCUAGUUGGUAAGGUAACGGCUUACCAAGGCAACGAUGCAUAGCCGACCUGAGAGGGUGAUCGGCCACACUGGAACUGAGACACGGUCCAGACUCCUACGGGAGGCAGCAGUAGGGAAUAUUCCGCAAUGGGCGAAAGCCUGACGGAGCAACGCCGCGUGAGUGAUGAAGGUCUUCGGAUCGUAAAACUCUGUUAUUAGGGAAGAACAUAUGUGUAAGUAACUGUGCACAUCUUGACGGUACCUAAUCAGAAAGCCACGGCUAACUACGUG